AUUCUCUAGAAAGUGCAAGAAGAGGAUGUAAGGGAAUAUUACAGGAUAACCUCUUUAGACGUGAGAAACUGCUUAUUUAAGUAAAACAUUAACUGAUUUAUGCCUCAAAGCACAAAGAUUUCUAGCCUUUACUUUAUCUUACCUUAAAUAUAAUCCAGAUCAUUUCUUCAUUAUGUAUUCAGGUUAAAGAAUCCUUAUUACAGUAAUAAACAUUUUUGUUACAAUUUUUAUUUGCUAUUAAAGGGUGACAGUGCUGCCACGGAGGCAAGAAGCAUGGCUUUUAUUUUUGUUUUGAGAGAUGGCAGGAGACACUUGACCUUGAAAAGACAGGGCAAAGUAGAAGAGACAGAAGGGUCAGAUUGCCUUUGCUUUUGAGUGUCUUUCAUCCUCUGGAGGUCCCAACACACUGGCUGAAAAAUAGAUGGGUGUAUGUUUGUGGUUGUGUGUGUUCCUUUAUGUGCAUACUCUGCAGGUGACAUGGAACUCAAACCUAUUUGUGGACAUAAGCUUUAAGCUCUGGCAUAAUUGAAUAAUCAAUGCCCAAAGGUUUCCAGCAAGGCAUAUAUCUGGGAGUGAUUUCAGAAUGUACCCAUUGCCUAAUGUUGUAGUGUCAUUUGGGGAAGAGCUGUCUUUUGCAAAGAGUACUCCUGGGAACCAUGAAAUAUCCUAUAAUCUGCUCUGACUACCUUACACUGAACAAGAUGAGCAAAUGUAAAGAAUGGAUAAUGUAGCAUGGAGAAAAUAACAAAAUCUAAAUUGAGGUUUCUGUUGUAAUGGUGUUGGUAGAGGGGGCUGAGUUACUAAAAUACAUCACUGUUUGCUGCUUCCUAGCACGAACAGAAAAUUAGAACAAUGCUAGGGCCACAAGACUGGCCAGAGUUACACAAAGUAACACACAUGUGGGCAUUAGGGUACAGAAGGUGGCUGUUAUGUACAUUCAAGAUGCAACAGCUGCCUCUCGUAGGUAAUAUUAAAAGUAUAAAGGUUUUCUCACCUUCCUUUUCAGAAAACUAAGAAACGAACAAUAGGAAAGAUGAAUUUUCGAAACCCACAGUGGAGACUUAAAAAUGGACAAAGAAGGGUUCAGCCAAAGCUCUAACAUCACAGUUGAUGAAGGCAGAAAGUCUGAUUUUUGUCAUACGUAUUAAAAAGUCAAUAGACUAUUAUCUCAUAAUUUCAACAUCUUUGCACAAUGAAAGAUUUAGUAAGAAAACAUUCUAAUUUUAUAAAAGAAAAUAUGGCACUGUAGAUUUAAUUUCUCGACAGGUUAUCGAAAUCUUGACCAGAAGAGAAGACAGACGAGUAAGUGAGCAGGUGAGCUGUCUCUUUGAACGCCCAGUAGGUACCCUGAACAGCCCUACAAAGAUGUGCCAGCUUCAAAAGUUUAAUACACAUUUGCAAACUGCAUAGCCCAGAGAACACUUCAGACAGAGUUCUCUAGGGGCUACUUUUGUGAUUAUAACUAUUCAGCUGAAUUUCUAAAUCAUAAGAAUGGAAGCUUGCAUUUAGCAGAAGGGUUCUCGGGAGUAUUGACACUUUAAUGUUCAAUCUUAAUGACUGAGCAAGAAACUUAAUGGAAAUAGAGAAAUCUGCUAUGGCAGUUUUACCGCCCAGUUUAAUAAAACCAAAAUUUCAUCACUUCAUAUUUACAGUAAUGGAAAUAGCUUAAAAUCUGUUUAAAGCAUCAAAGAGAUUUAAUAUUAGAGCCUUCUUACUCUUCUUUCUGUAAAAGAAACACAUUAUCUCCUUUUAGGAGAAAGCAUUAGUUCUUGAAACUCACACUAAUCACAAUAUUAAUUUUUUCCUGUUCUAUGUCAGAUGAGCUCUCUAAGUGCUUUCUAGCUUUUAUUAAACAUGAGCAGCAAACUUACAAAACAUUGAUCGAUAAUAUUUGCUCUAACAGAAGAAAGGUGAGGAAUAAGGGAGAAAGGUGGUUUUUUUUCUUUUUUUUUUUUUUUCCCCUAGAGUUUGGGUCUAUUAGUUUAUAAGUAGUGAAGAGGAUAUGGAGUGCCAGUAUAGCAUUGUUUCCUACAGAAAGCAGGUUACUGACAAUAUUUCAUUUAUGGGAUAGCAGUGUAAUAUCCCUGAAUUUGUCAUGCAUAGAAAGCAUGAGAAAAUGCUGCUUACAUCAUCAAAACAAGCUCUCAUAGAAAUUUUAUAAGCCAACAAAGCACAGAAAGCAUAUGUUGGAUCACUAUUAUAGUUUUAUUUGCUUAGGCAGACUUUCUCAGCUCAGGUCCCAAAAAGUUUCUCUUAGAAAUCCAAAUGAACAUGCAAAAUAAAUUAUGCAGCAUAUCUUUAUAUAAAAGACUUUUCAGACCCAUAUAAGUACUUACCCAACUAAAAAUGAGAUUGAAACUGCUUUAGAAUAAUAAAAACAUCCAUUAUUAACACCUGCUUAUUCUAGUUUCUUCUGUAGUAUACUUUUGUUUCAAUAGGCAAAGCCAAAGCACAAAUCACUAAAGUAAUCUUAUAUUACAAUACCCCAUGUUAGAUAAACAUGUAAUCAAGGGCCAUUUCUUUUAAAGAUUCUGCAGCUUUUUAGUAAAAAAACGCAUUUCUGUAAAUGAGUUUGUGACUUUAUGUGCUGUUUUGUAGUAAAAAAGACAAUUUGAAAAACAAACUUUUGCUUUACCAUUCAGAAUUGUUCUUGCACCCUAACUUUUACAGAUUCACAUGAACAAUUUGUGGAUUAAAAUAAAAAAUGUUAGCCAAUGCUAUUUUUCCAGCAAGCAAUGUAUGAUGGUAGGAGGGAGGAAAAUUUUGAGCCAGUUUAUGGGCCAAACAGGAUUCAGGCAAGCUUAGAAUUCCCUAGUAUCACUUUGGGUGCCAAAACUGAUCCCCCAAAUCUGGGUUUUCACAUCCAGAUUUAGCCAGCAAGUUGCAAACUAUUGUUAAAACUACAUGGUGGCCUGAAUUUAGGGAAAACAUUAUUUACCUUUCAGCUGUGCAGGUCUUCAGGGUUCUUAUAUCUGACCGACACUUUGACAAACACUUCCGUCAUAGCACUGGUCUACCAGAAGUCUCCAAGUCACUGCUUUAGCCCAUGGUCUUCCUGGGACAUGGCUGAAACACACAAUUCCUCAUUGUUACUAUGCAACUGUCAACAUCAAUAUACUUUGGAUAAAACCUCAUAAAGGAUUUUUUUUCAGUCAGCGUUUACAGAACCUGAAAGCCUCAGCUGUUUAGCCUGUAUGAAAUUUCUUCAAGUAUUCUAUUUCACAAAGUGCUGUAAAAAAUGGAGUGGAGAAAUAAGGGACCCCAAGUAUGAUACCACUUCUGCCACCUCUCAGGCUGACAGUACUCUAGAAAAAAAAAUAAAUUCCAACCAGUGCUGAAGCUUUAAGGCCUUCCUAACUAGACAGAAACACUACUUCCACAUGAAGCUUGGGAAGCCCUGGUUGUCCCUCUGUGUGUGGUUGCUUACCUGCGUACACAUGCGCAUGCAGGCACACACACACUGCAUGGAGCAAGAUGCCCUCUGGAAGACGUGGACCCCAUUGAGCAAUUUCUGUCCUGCCUUUGUGGCCACAGAAGUCAGACUUUUCUUUUUCUGCCUAGCACAUGGAGCCAUACACACUAAUAGCUACCACAUAGGGUUAACUUUCCUCUAACCAGAGUCUUAACAGGUCAAAUUUAAAAGAUCUUUAGACAUUGACAAGACCUGCAAAUAAGAUGUGACUCAAGCAAAGUCACAAUCCCUUAAUGUAAAAAGCAGUCCAGGUGUGAUGUACCCUACCCAUGCCCAGAUGAGCUUUUUCUCUCCCAAAAGUGAUAGAAAGGAAGUAUUUUUGAAGACACACAGAGUAUGCACCGUCUGCUCUGAACAUAAUUAGAAAAGUGACAGGUUCAGCUCUUGUCUUGUUUUCCUCUGUUUAAAUCUGAAAUGCUUUCAUUACAAAAGCAUGGGUCUGAAUUUUGAUACAUGAUCCUUCUCUCUCUUCCCACGAUAAUAUUGACAUUGUUUUAAUCUGGUUUUAAAGGAAAUACUAAUAUGCAUCCAAAGUCAAACAGAUUCUAGGUUCUGGCUAGAAGAUCAAUAGACAGCUCUUGCGUUACUGUUGAUUUGUACCAAGGACAAAAAGAUCAAAAAUAUGCCUAUGCUUGACAUUUGUAAGUAAUACAAUCUUUGUAUUCCGGUAACUAUUGAAGACUCUAUUACUAUCAGAUUAUCGUAUUCACCUUUGGCAUCAGAAAUAAUAAAUAAAUGAAGAGGUAAGUCCUUCAGUAACUUACUGUACUACAGUAAUAUUGUCUAUAAUAAAACGAAAUAUUGUAGAAGUAAUAUAACCCGGUUCCUAUUAAAGUAUUAAGGACAUUCUACCUCUAUGACAGCACCAGAAUUUAAGAGUGAGACAUAGAGAAAAAUCAAUAUUGGGUUAAGUUGAUAGAACAGUAUUACUGGACCUCAAAAAAUCCCUCCACAGAUGUUGUAAAUCAUGGCAUAGUAUACAAGACCAUCUGUUAGAAAGGAUUGUUAAAAGGAUCACUACAUCAGUUUAUUAAAAGCUUCCUAUUAUACUUAUGUAACAGCAACUAAAUGAACAAUUCAGUAUUAUUGAAAUGCAUUCCUGAGGUGAGGACCAUUUCAAGGUGUAUAAUGGUGCCUCAAACCUGGGAAAAGGUGCCAUUUUAAAAACCUGGAAGUAUUUUCCAAGGUUUGUGCCAAAGUCUGAAACCUCAUUCUGCUCUGGCAAGACGGUUUAAAUAGUCGAAGUCACAGGCACUUGAGCCUAGAUCAUCUUAUCUUUAAGAGAAAAGCAAACAGAAAAAUGAACAAUAAACUCCCUCUUCAUCCCUUGCAAACCCCCAGUUGCCAGAUCCCCUACACCAGGGGUGUCAAACGUGGUCCCAAGAUAACCAAUUCCAAUUGUGUUUUUUUUAUUUCCCCCCUUGAGAGGCAGUACAAAGGUCUUUGAUAAACAGUGUAAUACUCUGAUAAACAGUGUAAUACUCUGUCUAACUCUCAUGCACAUGCUCUGGAAAGACUGAACAUUUCCCAUUAUUGCAAAGUAUUGCAAAACCUGGCAAAAUCUGGCAAUAUGCAAAAAAGUAUGGAAGAAAGAAGACCACAAGAUUUAAAUGGCCAAAAUUUCCCAUCAGGUCAAUAACCUUCAACAGACUUAAAAACUCCUGCCUUCAACUUGCUAAAUGCAAGGUGUUAAUGGGACCCCUGGAGAGACUGAGAAGAUGACACAUGUGCCUUUCCUCCUCAUUCACCUCAACUGGCCUUUAGCAGUUAUUCUUAUGUUGCCCUGAACCAGAUUCUUUCCUUUAACUGGAAGAUUAUAAAGAGCAUCAGCAAAAAUGCUCCCUAGAUUUCUGCAGACAAUAUACAUUUAUCAGAAGUCCAUUCUUCCCAUUUUAGUGUGAAGUGUCCUAGAAAUGUGUUGUACAGUUCAACACCGUACUGCCUACAGCCUCCCUGUGCAUGAAGCUCUGGUCCUGUACUGUUAUCGGCAUCUUUGCUUACCUGCUCUUUCUUCAUAAAGACAGGACACACAAUAUUUUUGGAUAUCCCUCAUUUGUUUAUAGGACUGGAAGCUGAGUAUUUGUUUUCACACAGUGUUGAACAUAGUCUGCAAAUAGCUUAAGCUUUAUGUUAACAUAUGGUAUAAUUGAAGAAGAUUAGAAGAAGGUGGCUAAUGAUAUAAUCAUUCAAAAGUGUUUGUAAAUUAAUUUUUUUAGCUGAAGUUUGCAGUCCUUGUUUCUAACCAACAGCUGGUUGAUGCCUUUUCCUGGUACUUUUGCGGAAAGCCCAUUUCAUUGCUCUAAUCUGAAAUUUGUGGCUGACCACCUCGUGAGUGAGUAGGUGAGAAAAAAACCCCAAAUCACUGUUUGGCACUCACAGCUAAACAAAACAACAUGAACUGGAGAUCACACUGAAGAGGAAACAACUUUUAAAAAUAUUUGGAGAAUAUAUUCAGAUAGUAAAUGAAUCUGGGAAAAAUCUCUAUCUGCCUAUAAGUGUUUCUUGAGCACAAACAGGCUAGAUGAAUCAAAUAAAUUGUUGAGCAUGAAUUAUCUCCUCAUUACUAGGAAAAGUAAAGGAACUUCCUCUUCCAACUUUUCACAAAUAACUUACUGUGUAAAUGUAUUUUUCUGAAUGUCUGCCUUUUCUGGGACAUCUGACUGUAAUCAGAGCAACAUACAAAAAUAUGCAAAGCUAUUCUCAUGCUUAAAUUACUCUCCUAGUAAAAUGACAUUCAUUUUAAACUGAAGAUGGAAAUAGUGAAGUCAAAGGCAAACAUAAGCUAUCAAUGUCUCAGGCUAAUAUUAUAUUUAACUGUCCCUUUGGAUGAACAUUUUUGGUUCUGACUUUCUAUAGAUAAUUCAAAUUAAUUAAAUAGACCUCCUGACAAAAAUAAGUAAAGCACUCCCAAGAAUUUUUUUAAGAUGGGAAUAUGUGGUAUUGUUAAGGAAUUAAAAAAUAACAGAAAUUUUAAUCAGCCCAUGAAAUGCUGACUGUAUGCCCAAAGCAUUAUGUUCCUUAAUUUUCAUAGCUUCAGAACAGCAUAUAUCAUCAAUACUUUGGUAAUCACCUCAACUUAGUAACUAGGUCACAAAGUCAUUUGCCAUUCCAGGAAAGAAUUGGCAUGGUACAGAUUUUCAUUCAUCUAUUAUUUCUGCUGUGUGGAAAGCACAUGAAAAUCUUGCUUGCCUCAUCAGAUACAGCAUUUGAACUCUCAUGUACUGUAGCAGUUUGAAAUUAAUGAGGAAUUCACAAGCUAAAAUCAUUUGGUGUUGAACAAACUGGUGGAAGCUGUUCACUACUGGGUAUGUAUUAACUAUGCCAAGCAAAGCAAAUUUUAAGUUGACAAAUUACAAAAUAGUUUCAUUAUGGCUUCUGCUCAGCUUCCCUCCUCCUUUGUCUGUUUCCUCCUCUCCCUCUGCCUCUCUCCCUCUGCCUCUCCCUCUCCUCUCCAUUCAUGUCCCAAAUUUAUUUGCAGCAUGACUGAAAUGAAAAAAGACAGAUUUCCUUUAGAAAGUUUCCAUGAACCAAAAUGAACUUUUAAUAAUGUCUUAGUUAACAAGUGGUGUUUGGUUCAUUCCCUCUAAGUCCUUCCCCACAACAGCCAGCUCACCAGAUGAUCAGGUGGAAGGACAGCACAUCAGCCAAAUUUUUCUGGAAAACCUUCUAACACAUUCAUGGUGAUUUUUACAGGAGGAAACUAACCCCCAAACAACACAGGGGUGCAUUAACUCUUUCAAAACUUAUAACACAGUAGCUUGUUGCUUUCAUUUUCUGUAGUGGUUGUAGCACAUCAGGAACUUUUAUGUUACUAUGCCUAUAAUCUUUCACUUUCUUAAAAUAAGUCAUGGUUAGAAUGGCCAUACUAAUCACUCUCUUAUUUGCUUGUAAUUAUAUCUCUUACAUCUAUCAUCAUUCAAAUUGCACUUUCAGACUGUAGAGAUGCCCCUUGAUGUGCAUAUCUCAGCUACUAAGCUAUCCUAAAAUCUGCUUAGAAAAUAGCUGUCAAUAACGGUUGUACACCAAUCCAAUAUAAUCAUUCCACAAUAGCCACUCUGAGGUUAUGUACAAAACCCCUCUGUUUAUAUAUAUUCAUACCCAGACCAUUUGCAGCACGUAAACUGUUGGAGUACUGAUUCCUUACCAGUCAAGAUAAAACUCAACAUUUCAGUAAAUCUGUAAUCUGCUUUAUGUAUUUCUCUCUACAUUUUCAUAGGAAAAUUACCAUCUUAAACAAUCAAGAAAGAGGCAUUACUGGAGGAUAUUCUUAAAUUAAAUAAUCAACACUUAAUUAGGUAUUUCCAAUUUUCCAGAUACGAAGAUGGAAGCACGCCAAACUGAAAAAUACAAAGUCUUCAAAAGAACUUGGCAGCCAUUUCCAAGUAAGAAGCGUGUCUUGAUACAGUACUCAGGAGCAGCUUGCAAAUAGUCCUGGAAAAGAAAGGAAAUUUAAUUUCACGUCCUUAGUAUAAUAGGACAGCGCACAAUACAAGGACAGCGAAAUCUCCACUGGAGUACUGAUAUUUGUUCCCAGGUACGAAGUGUUGUCUUACAGGGUCACUAAUGAUCUCUGCUGCUCUGUCCUCACCGCCAGCUACUGCUCUGGCACUGAGCACACCCAGCCUGUGCAGGGCUGAGGAGUCUGCCCUGCCACUGUGUGAAUCCUGAGGCUUUUGUUCAACCCUGGGGCCAUAUGAAAUCUAGGGUUGCCAAGAUUACAUGAUUUGUCAAGGUCACAUAUGAAGGGGCAAACCAGAUUUCCUUAAUUACGAUGAAAUGUAAUAAACACGGGUAAGAAGCUGCUCCUAUUUAGAAAUUGUUUGUGCUUACAAUAGGAAGGGAUUUCCAUUUUCUAAUCAUUGUUCUUUCUGUAAUUGUAAAGUAUUGUCCAGCAGGAACAUUUUUCCUUGUGUGCCCAGCCUCUGUUACAAAGAAGGGCUUAAGUAUACUCAAAGUAUACUCAGCAAAAAUAGCCUAAAAAAUCUCUCUGCAUAUGAAAGUGCUUUAAAGACCUCACAGACCCAUGAGUCAGAUGGAAAAAAUACAGUUCAGAUAUCUGUAAAGGCCUGCAUGCAGGGCCUAAAAUGGUUUUAAUUUCCAUGGAAUAUAAAAUAGAAGUGUAGACACGCACUUCAUUUUCGCAGCAAGCUCUCACUGAUAACAGCAAUUCAUAAACUUUGUCACUUGGAGCUGUACAUUGUUCCACUCACUUGAGAGCUAAAAACCAGUGUCAUAGACAAGAGCCACCUCUACCAGAAAACUCACCACUAUAUAUUUAUAUAUUUUUUUAAAAAUAAUUCUAACAUGAACAAUUGCAUCAUUAUAACACUGAAUUGACAGCCUUCCUACAGAGAGCACUGCAGAAUAAUGGUUACACAGGGAAUCAAUACAAAAAGGGAAAAAGUCAAACAACUUUGACCCAAAAAUUCAGUGUCUCUGUUUCUUGAAAUGGGCUCAUGGACCAGGAAUACAUGGCUUGUCAAAUAAAUAUAUGUAUUUUAUUGAAUAGCACAGCACAAAAUCUACAUAGCUUGUUGAAAUAUUGAGUGAGUCACUCCUGCCCUGCAAGUGCAUUAUUAUAUCCUCUCAUCCAAAAUACAAAGACAAACAGCUGCAGAGAGAUUUUUGCCAUGUUUCACAUAUAUCAAGCACAGCAGAUGUAGCAGCCUCAUUUUGGUAGUGUACAUUCUGUCCUGUAUUUGGACUGUCUCUUAGGUAUAUAAAUGAAGAUGGGAUUGUGUCUUUGCUGGGGCAGCAGGUAAAUGAAUCACAAAAAAGACCCAGUCAGGCUGUGGAUAAAACAUGGUCAUUUACCAGGCUUUGUGCCUUAAUAAAGAGCUGUGAAAAAAAGGCCUGAUUUGAGAAAGUGGUGGAAAGAAAGGAACGAGUGGAAGGAUGCUCAUUUUUUUAAUCCAUUGAUUCACUGCCUAAUUUAACUUUUGUUAAGUGCUCCUCGCUAUUCUUGCCUAUUCAUAUAAGCAAGCAAAAGUGUGAUUGUGAAGGGGGUAAAGAUGACAGUUCUGUUUCAUAAUGUAUUUGGCCAAGGUGCCCUUAUUCAUGUAUUAUACACAUGGGCAUUUUUAAUAUGCAGGUUGCAGCUGCUAUUUAAAACCUUGCUAAUGCUUCAUGGAAAAAAAUGAAUCCAUCUACUGAGAUUUCACCUAUACAGCAUGUCUUUUUUUGCCCCUCACUAUUUUAUAACUAGUGGUAUUUGCACUAAUGCUGAAUUUUUGUCACUAAAGAGUUUGUCUGAUUUGGCUCUGAGAUGCUUGACUGAAGUUAUAGCCCUCACUGAUAUAACUUCCCGUGUCUGUUGUGAUGAUACAAACUGGUUUACGUUUUCAGAGAGACCACUUCUAGGUUUCUGACAGUGGCAAAAAUGUCCCACUCUCCCUCAGGUUGAGCAGUGUGGUUGGCAAGAAAUACGGGUUUGGUCUACUCCAAAAUUAACAAAUAUAAAUCCUUCAGAUUUGAAUUAGUGUUGUAUUCACAUUGACUGUUUCCAAAAAGAGCAUAGAAAUCAAUGGCUAACCUGCUCUUCCCAAUACUGUUUAAUCAGAAAGGAGGGUUUUUUUUUCUUGCUUGUUGUAAACUGCGUUGCAUCAAAUUUCUGAAAACAAGAACAUUCAAAGCUCAUCUGUUUGAUACUGUUGCAGUGACAAAUGCAUAUAGAUGCUCUCUUUCAUUUCUAUGAACCACUUUCUAGGCAACAGAUAUUUGCUUAUUGAUACUAUUUAGCAAGGUAAUUAAAGCAUUUACAAGUAAUUGUCUGCAACUUGCAAAACUACUAAGGUUAUUAACAUUGUAUCCCUUUUCAGGGAAUUACUCUGAUACAAAAAUAAAGAGAGUGGCUGAUGUUAAAGAUGACACACAGCUGAAGAUUAAGAGGACAAUGUGCACUGAAAUGGUUCUCAGUCUAUUCCACAGACAAAUGGUGAACUCUGUUCUUACAUGAAAGAGCUUUGGGGCAUCAGCAUAUGAAUUUUGUUAAUAUCACAACUCCUCUGCCUCUUUGACUACCUGUGGGUACUAUAGUACCCACAAGAAAUAAGAUACCAUGACCUAUCUUCAAUUAUAGGUUAGAUAUGCACUGUUUGUUUGAACAGCAGUGAUCUGCUGGGUUCAAAGUCUUAUACUCAUCUCUGCUUGCCCUCUACUAAAAGUGUCCUAAAAUAAAUGCAUUUAAAGUUUGUUAUGGCCCUUACACAGGCUUUUCCUUUUAGGAUAGGAAUUUGAAUUCACCACAGGCCAGCAGAAAGGAGCUGGAAUUAUCCUCCUAAACGGGCAGUUUGUAGCAGCUGGAAGAAGGAGGUCACAGGUCUGGCUGUGCUUCCCAGGCCACCGCUGCUCCUGCCAUGGGUGACCGCUGCCAAUUACCAGACUUAGUGGGCAUCUCAGCAGAAGGGGGAGAAAGAGAAUUAAAGGGUGACUGAGUAUUUAUUGUCUUAGGAAGAGUCAUUCUUUAUUCUACAGCAGUGAAGCCUAUGAGAAUUUUUCUCCCUCAGUAGCAAAGAAUCACCCUGUGCUGCAGGUGUUGAUUUUUUUUUCCCCAGAAUAAGGCAAUCUGAGGCACCUUUUUUUUUUUAAAUGUUAUACAAAUUUUGGGGAAUAUAACAGUACCUGACUAAACCUCUGCUGUAAUGUGAUAUUGCAAACAUCAUGGUUAUUGUACACAUGACAAAGCUGAUAUCUGGCUCAUGCGUUUUCACAUUUGAAUCAGCUAUGGAUAGAGCUCAUGUGCUGACACACAAGCAAUACCACACUGUAAUAUACUUCAACACCCCAACUCAGCCAACUGUGUCCUCAGGCCUAUAAAAAUUUGUUAAUCAAAUAGCACGAGGUGUUUCCAAUAAUGCAAUUGAACAUAAAAGCUAAAUGCUGCUUUAAUUCAGUGUAAGCAUAAUAAGUAAUGAACCAUGUUUUCAAUUCUGAUGCUUCUUAAUGCAGGUUGAAAUUCCAUUUUUUUUUUUUUUUUUAGAGAAAUGGUAUAGGACUAUGACUAAAACAUAUGGUCAGCCUUUUUGUUUCUGUCACAAAAAUUACUUCUGUUAAUUAUCAGUGUUCUUGGCAGGCUCAGCAAAGAGUCGAGGAAGAUAUCUUCAAGAGCCAUCAAAUUUUCAUACUAAAUGCAUUUUAGAUGAUAAACAGCACACAUGGAUUGCCCAAAAAAUAGGCUUUGUUUUUGUUCUUUUUUUUUUCCUCCCAAAUGUACAUAUUGUCAUCGAAUUAGAUGGCAAAGAGUACAGCUGAAUUAGAAUCAUAAAUACCAGAAAUGUACAUGACAUGGAGCUAUGUGAUAGUUACAAGAUUUAACGUAAAGCCAAGGUGGGGGGUCCCAUUCCUGAUUUCAUCACUUAACUCUCACAUGGAUUUGAGGAAGUACCUGGUCUGUACUUUGUCUCAGUCUCACCAUGUAACCUGAGGAUAAUAGUAAUACACAAAAUACUUUGAAAUCUUCCUGAUAAAAAUGUUAAGCAAUGUAAAACCUUUCAAAACAUUCUGAUAUUCUUCUCUCUUGCUGCCUGGGGUUUGAUGCAUUCUUAAAAUAGCAGCAAGUCAGCAGCUGCAGCUCAGUUUCCAGGACAAGGGACCUACACAUGCUGCACAUUUCAAGUGACAGAAUGAACACUGGGUUUUUGUGCAGAACCUUCUUUUAGGUCACUAUAAUCAGGCACUGUCACAACUGCUCUAAGGAAAGGCUUACUGUUACCAGGUGAACCCGGGCUUCAUGUGUUAGUAAACUUGGCUGAGGUCUGGUUUAUAAGGCACAAGAUUGCCUGGUCCUGUCUAAAUGAUUGGCAGGAAGCUUGGCCUCUGCCCUGAGAAGCGACCUGAAGAGAAGCUGGUAAAGCACAGCUUGCUCUACAACCAUGAUUAUGACUGUAGCUGUGACACACCAUGCUUAGCAGUAUUCAUUUGGGGCAGAAAUAGUAAACAGAGUCUGUCUUGUAAGGUACAGGGAGUCCUUAUCACAACUGCAGCAGCGAAGCUGUAUUUGCAGGCCAUUACUACUGUGCUGAAAACAGAAGUUCCAGUUCAGCAAAAUAAUGCGCACUAAAUUUUCACAUAUCACAGAAAAGUUUGUUCAAACUUCUGAGUGACUUCUUAAUAAAUAAAUCAAUUGCUAGCAUCCAUUCAUCUGGCAAGCCAACCUCUUAUGGUAACCACAAGUAAGAGAAAAUAUCACAGUGCUGAGAUGGUUACUUAGCAUGCAAAGUGUCCUUGCACCCUUUUCCCAUCUGUGUUGAUAUCCUUGUGUUGCUUUUUGUCUUCUACCCAGAUUGUAAGUUUUCUAAGACAUUGACUAAAUGGAAAAGCUAGACAAUGCUCAUGUCUCUUGAGUGCUAUAAUGUAUGAAUAAUAAUGAUACUAAUAGUAUCUGCUCAAGAAAAAAGGUGGGACUGGAAAUCAGAGACCGAUGUAGUCAGAAGAGCAAAUAUUAUAGUGAUACUUUAAAAUGACACUGAUGUUCUGCCAGGGCAAUGUUAGUAAAAUCAAAGAAAAACUUAAUGCAACUCUAGCAAGUAAGACAGAAAGAAAGCAGAGGAUAAAACCUUGAACUGGAAAAUCAGGAAAUAUUUUCUCAGCUUAGCCAUCACAAGCAGAGUAUUGAAAAGCAGUGAAGAAAGGCAUUGUAGCUGAUCCACAGGCGUUCAUGUAAUACAUCGCUAUUUUACUUUGAUUGAAUUGCAAAGAGAAAUCAAAACACUAAAGGGAAAAAAUUCAGAUUGCAGUAAAAAAUUAUAUGCAUUAUUUUAUUUCUUUUGUGUCAUACAGCUUCUGGGAUACAGAGUUUUAAAUUCUGAUUAUAUUAGUUGUACUUUCUUGGCAUGCAUUAUUCAUUAGUGUACCCUGAAAUAUUAGCCCUUUCCACUGGUGGUGCUCCAUAAGGAGAGAUGAACUGAUCUGCAAAGUUCAAACUGAAGGACUGUGACUUAAGUUUGCAUUUACUACCCCUUUUCAUCUGAAUUUCUGAGAUGCUACCACUGUGAAAUUCAGAUAUAGAUAACAGAUUUGUAAUCUAUUUUUGAAAGAUGCAGGAGAGAUAUAUAAAAUGAAAACUUUUAAUCCCAGUGAGUGAUGUAAAGUUAGAAUUUUUUAUUUUUUAUUUUUUUCCUCUCCUGGGAUACGUCCUAGAAGUUUAACUGGGAAAACUGGGAUGACAAUAAAGAUUAAGAGGGAAGGGAGAGACCCAGUUCAGGGAUGGAAUCAUGAUGGCAGUGUCACAACCUAAACCCAGCCUCUUAAAUCUGGUAACUGGCUUAGCUCUGGGCAUAUUGCUGAGAUGUGAGAUAGAUAUUUUCAGCUUCUGUUGUGGCAUAUUUCAUCACUUAACCUCAACUAACUUCAAGAGAAGGAGAAUUGAUUUGGUCAUCUAGUUAACUGAAAUGCUUAAACAAAAGUUUCUGUUAACAAUGGAAGCAAGGCUUUCAUGAAAAGCUUUGUCCAUCUUAAAAGAGAGUUCACAAAGCAAGGGAGAUGUGAUGGUGGCCACUAGAGAGUGUGAGGAUGAAUGUAAAGUGAAGUGCUGCUUGUGAAGUGCUGCUUUGCCCGUCUCAGGAGAGCAGCUGCCAAGCACACUUGAGAAAGAAAUCUGAAAUCAGACAUCUGUAUGUGCAUUGCGUCCACCAUGUUUGCUCUGAGGAGAGAGAACCAUAUGAAGCAAGACAGCAAAGGUGAAAUCCAGCAAGACAUCCUACUUUAUUGCCAUGGCAACCCCACCCUGAUGAAAAGUAGAAAAACAAUAAAACAUCUUUAGGAAAAAAAAAAAAAAUCAGUGCUAUCUACCAAGGGAAUUGAGGAAGAUGCACUUUAAGGAAGAGCUUGACGUUUCCACCAUUUGGUGACUCUUUGAAACAAAGGUAUGGCUAAAGCUUUUGCAAGCUGCAGAGUUAGAACAUAUUGUACUUGAUAAAUUAUUUACUUUGUUUAGCAGCUGAAUUCUGAAUUAUAAGUGAAAGCUGUAGUUACAGAUUAGAAUCUUUAAUGCCGCUGUAGCCAGACAGAAAAUUAUUGUUGUGAUUUUCCUUGAUGUCUUCUGACAUCUGUCACCCUUUAGCACUAGAAUCACCUUUCCCACAUUAGACUUUCCAGGAUGGGUGAAUGUGAGUGCAGAUAAGUAUGUGUGUGUGUGUGUGUCUUAUGCAAGCAGAUGUCUGAAUCUGUAUGUUUGUGCUUAUGAAGAGUUUUAUGCUGUUAUGCUUGCUAUAUCUAAAUGUGUUGAUUUUCAAGCAAAUUGAAGUAGAUUAUAUACAAGGCCCAUAUAGACCCCACUGGGUUCAGGAAGCCCAGCAGUUAAACAUCUGCUGGUAAAGAAAGCAGUGACAUGUCUUACAGUAUUCUAAUGAUGAGGAACCAAUAUGCCCCAGAAGACUGCUCAACGUGAGCUGCCGCACGGGCAGAGCUGGGGCAGGUGGAAAAGGCUCAUGCGAAGCGGUUUGUCUGCACAACUCUUGUGGGAGUCAAAGCUGCUCUGACACUCUCUCUCCCUGUCUGCAAAAGGCUACUGUGAUGGAGCAGCAGCUGCAGCGACACAGCCUGGUGCUCCCCGCAUGGAAGCCUUCUUGUACAGGCACAGAAAGGUGCAACAUCUACCACCCCCAUCCUUAGGGAAUCUGAUACAGUACAGUUGUGUUUGCCAAAAAUAAUCCUUUAAUUUUCAUCUUAUUUGCAAACAUUGUUUUUUGUAACUAAUUUGCAUGAACAACGAAUAUUAUAAUUCUGUACAGUAAUGAGAAAAACAAUAAGAUUAUCUUACCAAAGAGCACUUUUAAAACUAAAGAGAUUACUUUCUGUUUUAAAAAGCACACAUCAGAUGUGGCUGUUAGUGUUAGCAUUAACUGUAGCUCAGCCAUUACGACGGCAUUUCGAGAUCCUAUUUCAGGUUAUAUUUCCUGUGUACAAGGUGGUAGGUAUAUAAAAUAAUAGAAAAAUAAGAAUUUAUCCUACAGUGGGAUACGAAGGUGAGAAGUGAUUGCAAAUCACUUGAUUCCCAGGCCAGAGCUUUAUACAAUCACCUUCCUUCCCCUAUCUCCAUAUAUGUAACUUGGUAGAGAGAACAUCAUUCUUUCUUAGCCCUGCCUGCUUAUCCCUGUUCACACCACGUGCCCUACUGGUGCUGAGCUGCAGGUUCUUCCUGGCUCUCCAGCACACACCCAAAACCAUGGAGAGAGGGAAGUCCUCUCCAGGAGCAGACCCCUUGCUGCCCCAUCAUGUGAAACCCUAAGCUCUGCACCGACACUACGCAAUAAGAACACCGAGUGUUUAAAAGGAGAUCUAAAAUACAGUCCUAUAGAAAAGCCUAUGGAAACAGUUUGCCAGGUAUGAGAACACUUUUUGAAAGGGGCACUGAAGUUUAUUCCUUUUGUAACUGGAAGGAUAAAAAACUCAUUACUCUAGCAAAUUAAUAUCUUUCUUGCUCCAAAGGGAAGCUGUGACCUUCAGUCUCUACUACGUUCAUCAGGAACCACGUCAGAGUUUAAUGCAACAUUGCAUUAGUGCAUGAUGUAAAAUGGAGUUAUGAUCACAAGAACUUACAAUAAAUUUUCUGUGCCUAUGAGCAAUAACUCAGCAGCUGGUGUGUGCCACCUCUAUGCUGUGAAAAGCAUAUACAGGCUUUUCUUUGAAAUAGCAGCAAUUCAGAAAUAAGUUUGCUUAAAAAUACCCACAGAGAUGACAUGCUGUCUGGUACCAAAGAAAAGAAUGUUAGGGCUUUUUCAGAAAUAGUUCACUCAUGUGGGCAGGAAGCCUGUGCCAUGUGGCCAAGGCCAUGGAGACCUUGGAUAUUUCAGUGGAACACAGCACAAACUGAAGUUGCUUUAGAAUAUAAUUAACAGCUCAAACUUUCCUCAUUGAGGAUAUGGCAGAAAUAGCUUUCUCCUUGCAGUGUGCAUCACUCCUACUAAUAUUAAUGAGAGAUAUGGCUUCCUGUAUUUUCCGUCAAUAUUAAUGAGAGAUGCACGUGCCACUAAUGCUAAUGGGAAAUAGACAUGCGUGUAACUCCCAUUAAUGUUCAUUAGAUAUCCACAGGAGAACCCUCAUUAAUGCUAAUGAGUGUUGCAUGUAUAUGUAAUUCCCAUCAGUAUUAACCAGAGAUCUAUAUGCAUGUAUUGCCCAUUAGUGUUAAUGAGAGAUACACAUGCGUGUGGCUGGAACUGUCAUUAAUGUUAAUGUGAUGUAUGCAGGAACUGACAAAAGAAGAUACUUUAUCUUGAUAACAGAAACUUGCCCUUUGUGUUUGGGUUCUAGUUCAUCUGUAGGAAAUGCAUUUCUUUCUAUUAAUAAUCUAGUUUGGGUGUUACUUUGACUGUGUACUAAGUACCAUGCAAAAUGCAGAGAUCCAUUUUCCAGAUGACGUGAAGUCUCUGUCUAUGUCAGAUCAGAGUACAGCAAUUUGUGCAUUUAUGCUGGGUCAGUAUAUGGAGUUUGUGAAUGCAUGCUUUGAUUCUGUGGCUUUUCAUCAAAAUUCUCUUUCUUAAUGGCAAUAAAUCUCAACCAAGGCUGUACUCUGAUAGGCACUUGGGUAGUUGUGAUCUGCCUUGAACUUAGGUCCUGCCCACUAUGCUUUCAUUUGGCCUGUGACAUUUGUGGCAAUUUCUUUUACAAAAGUUCUUUUAUAGUUAGUUACGCUUAAUCGAUUAGAGGCUGCCUGUGGAGAGCGGGCCGAACUCUAUCCUUAAGUGAAACAAGUCAGUGGAAUUUACAAACUUGUGACACAUUCGCAUUGGCCUUUGCUAUUUCUGAGGCAUCGUCUAUCUGUGCAGAUACUGAAUUUUGCUACAUAUCUUUCAUAAGCCCAUAGAUACACAGUAAGCAGAAAAGACCUCGAAGUGUUAAAAUUAAGAUCAAUGUAAAAAAAAAAAAAGUCCCUGGAAUAUUAUUUUUUAAAAAUGUGAAAAGGCACAUCACACCAUAGCCUUAGAAAACCUUAGAGCUUCUUACCUGAUACAACAGUCUUAUUCUCUACUGACUACUACCAUAUACAGUCACUCCUGCCUUGCAAAGCAAGUGUAAUAAAACAGCAGGGAAGAGUAUCACACUUACUUUGCACCAUAUACAUGGCAUCUUAAGGAAACACCAAGGGAAGAUGUGGGUUUGUAAGAGCUACACCAGUGUAAGUAUCUUGUAUCCUUUUAAUUCCCAUAUCUGUUCCAGGACUGGUCUUAUUUGUCAGAACUGGGAGAUAACUGACUGAUCAAAAAGGGAACUUGGCAGCUCAGUAAGACACAUGCUGGUAACGAAAGAAAAACUUCUGCACUGUUACACUGGUUUAUGCUUAGAAAAACUUAAGAAAACUGAAAUGUAAUGCUACUGCCUUUAUCAGAGAGGGUCCACCUGCAAAGUAUGCUCAUGACAGUGGUAUACCUAGCCUAAGAAAUUCUUCGUCCACAGUUUAUCCCUCCACAGCCAUUUUUUCCCUGAAUCAUACCAGGGCUCUCAGUCAUGUGUUAUGUGCUAUGAGUUACACAAUCAAAAUUAUCUGUUUUAGAGAAAGCACACAGUAUUAGGGUGCUCUGCUGGGUUUUUUGUUUUUCUUGUGACCAGAUCAUUUGAAUCAUCCACUUUACCAAGGACAGUUGUAUCAACAUAGCUGAGGGAGGCUAAGGACUACUGUGCAAGGACAGCAACAAGCGUUUUGAGAAAGGUGGUUACCACAAGAGAAAAUGUCACAACAGAUCAUAUUCUGAGGUCCACCAGUGAAUGUCCUCAUGACAUCUGGAGCCAGCAUUCUCUAGAUUUUGAAGGACUAAGACCACACACUGGGGGACAAUUAGAAAACAAAUAAAACACCGUGGCUUCUUUUUCCUGUUAACCACUUUCUCUAGAUGCCCCAUCACACUCUUCAAGCUACACUGGCUUUUAAUUUCUUUAUUCCUACCAACCAGAAAGCAAGGGAGUUCCAAGUCAGAGGAGCAAAUACAAAAUGAAAACAAAACAAUCCCAAACCUAAAACCUAAACAAAAUAAUCACGAAGUGUGCUCCUGGAACAGCAUGCACUUGAAUCUAUGAGUAAGGAGUUAAUUUGGCACUGGGCUUCAUGUUAACAGAAGAUUAAGAACUAACAAAAGUCUGUCACAAAAACACAACUUAGGGCUCCAUUUUCGUUUCUGAGUAUGUAACCUUUGUUUACAUAUUUGCAGCUCUGGGGCUCAGCAGUGUAAUCAAGUGCUGCUCAUUUUAAUUAAGGGAGUAAAAUUUGCAUAUGCAAACUCCUCUCUUACUGGUGUUAAUGCCUCAGCAAUGCCAGCAGCUUUGAGAGAGCUAAGAAAACAAAAAAGGCAGAAAUAAAAAAAAAAUUCAACAAUUAAUUCUAUUUCACUAAAGCAAGGGAAGAAGCAGAGAUGACAAUAUAAAAUAUUUCCGGUCACAUAGCUAACAUGCAUUAACUGAGAUUCUGGUCCAGCUUUUAACUGAGAUGUUUUCACAGCUGACACAGAAUACUUGUCCUGUCACAGACUCUGAAGUAAAUGACUCAAGCUCAGGUUUUGUUAUUCUGUGGGAAAUCCAGGCAUAGAUAAAAACACUUGUAAUCUUGAGUGAUUGCUAUUUACAGAAGAGCUCCUCCUUUAUGCAGCCUGGAGAGAAGCUUAUGGUUUGAGAAGCAAACACUGCACCUCAGGCUUUCACAGGAUGGUCCAGCUUCCUGCUCCGCCUUCCCUUUUGGGUCACUAGAAGCAUGCAGACUCUCUGCAGGGGGAUGCUGACAAGAAUCAGUGCAAGAAAAAGUCAAGUGCCUGCAUUAAUUUAAAAAGACAAUAAAUUCCAUGUGUUUAAGACAAUGCCAUUGAGAUAUUCACAGAUACACCAGAAAACUAAGAUUUUCAGGCAAGCAUGCCAGGGUGACCAGGGGACUGGAAGAAGUUGUGUUUUUUCCAUGUUAGUUUAACUAUAGGAUCAUCCAGCAAAAUUUAGACAGUGGUAUUAAUUCCCACUGAUUUGCUCACCUCCAAAAGGCAGGUCCCUCUUUUUAAGAGAAAGACAAAAGCUUGGCACAAUAUAAUGCUCCUUGGAGCAAUUUCCCUUUCCACACAAGCACCUGAGUGGUUAGAAGGGAAUCAGUCCUUUGAGCAUACUGAAAGAGUACACCAUGGAGAUGCAUUUGUCUGUAUUAAUAUGGGAACUGCAACAUACUACAAAAUACUGUACAACAAUAACAGGGUCCAGAGGAGCCACUGUGGUCCAUUGAGUGAAAUAUGCCUUUUUAGACUUGCUCAAAUACAUAUUUACAUGAUAGACCAAAAAUACAGAGCUGGUCUGUUGAAUAAAUGCUGCAGCAAGCUUCAGAGCUGUUACAGUCUCUUGAGUAAAUAAUAACAACUUUUAAAAUGGUCCAAGCAUGUACUUCACAAUGUGACAGAAUAGCUUCAGAGAAAACUAUUGUGUCAAUUCUUAGGCAUGUCCAGGAGUGAAUUCCUUUCUUUUCCUAUUUGUUUUAUGCUUUAGCCUGACUUUACAUAUGCCACUUGCAUAAUAAUGCACAGUUCUUUUCAGUCCCUGGGCACAAAUUAUAAGAAUCCUGUUGCAAAUUCAGCCCAUACUAAAGUGAUUUAGCUGCUGUGGUUUUAGGCAAGAGCCUCAGUAAAUAUUUUAAUAUAAGCUGAGAGUAGGGGGAAUGAAAGGUGAUGAUGAGAGAGGCAAAGAUAUUUUCUAACAAACUGGGAAGAACUGAAAUGGUUUCCACCUACUGCAGACUAUAACUUUCCCUUUAUUUUCUGUUGUAUUUUUCAACAUGACUCUUCUUUCCUAAACUAAUAAUGGAUGGUAACCUUUUCUUAAUACUCCAUUUCAUGAGAUAGAGAAAAAAAAUCAUCUUGAUCCAUGUCCAUCUUUAGACUCGAUCAUAACUUUAUUUCAUCCUAUGACUUGAAAAGGCUUACAGAGAAUAAAACUAAUCAUGAGUCUGGUUUGCCUUCUCUGUGAAGUACAACAAAUUAGGACUAUGCAAAGAAUUGAUUCCUACUAGCAGUUAACAAGAAGUUGGUUGUCUAAUUAUCCAGGGCCAAGCUACGCAUAAUUGACAUUCCUACUGCCUAGGAACAGCUGAGUUAACAGGGUUACAUUUUGUUCUCACAUCUCUAAAUCAGGAGGUAGUCCCCUCAAUUAUACAACUGCAACUGCGAGUAGAAUAUUUGCAUCUGAAAUACUUUUAUGACCUGUCCUAUGAGCUCUGCUGAGAAUUGCCUCGAGGAGGUACCCCUGACUCUUUCCUGGUCCCACAAAAAGCAGUCAGCUGGCUCCAUGGAGCUUCUCUGCACUGAAGAAACCCAGUGACCUUCUUCGCUCGGGAAAGAGAGAAAUCAAAGUGUUCCUUUCCUGUGAAGAUGACAUGUGAUUUGUCAGGUGAGAGAAGAUCAAUAUUCUAUGGACAAAGGCCUGGACUCAUAUACUGUUAUAUUGCAGUUAAGCAAAUGGUUUAAAGCUGACAAGACAAAGUGGUAGCACUUCCACAUGUGCCAAGUCCAUCAAGCCAUAGUGCCUCUUAACACUAAAAACUGAAUUAGUUCCUCCACAGACUGCUGUUUCAUUUAGCAGAAUGCCUGCAUUGCACUACACAGGACCACAGUCCAAGGAGAGUUACCAAAUUCACAUGAAAAGGUCUACUCAGGCACUUGCUUGAAGAUGCCAAGGAAGAAGUUAAAUACCAGACAACUUAUUGAAGAGAGCGACACGCUCCCUAUACAUGUCAAAAGCUCUGAUGUCUUCCACCAGAUAAAACCUGGGAAGAGGGUGCACCACACGCUCUGGUCAGACCCAUAACUGGAUGGCGUGACACAGUAUUUGCUGUGCAGCUGUUCAUGCGGUGCAAUGCACAUGCUUGUCUGUUGUGAACUACAGAAAUGCCAAGCAAGAAUCACUGCUGCCAGUGGGCUUCUUAGUGCCAGAUCAAAGCGAUCUGGUGCGAUGCCAACAACUGCUCCUGACCUCUGCCAGCGCCACUGAACUCAGCGUCCUUCACUGAGCUACCCACAGAUCUAGGAAAACAUUCUGUUUUGUCUUUACUUGGCAACUUGCAUAUUUAGAUCCUUGCAGUUCAGGAUUUCACACUUGUCACCUGGUCAAACAGCACUUUAUUUAGAAGAAACUAAAUCAGACCUCUUAAGCAGAACAUAUGCCAAUACUAUCUUGAUUAACUAACAAUCAUUACUAUACCCUGUCAUCAGUUUCCAGAGACACAUCCAUUAAAGCAGCUAUGCCUAUUCAGUAUGUCCCAAUUAAGUACAGUAUACAGUAAUAAUAUUCUGUAUUUAUAUAAGUCAUUCAUCCUCAAGCACUUUAGAGAUUAUGCAGUGUUCAGAUACCACUUUGAUGAGUGUAUUAUAACUGCCUCCAUGGAGCCACAUUGAACCGCGGCAGCUUUUCAAGAGCAAGACAGCAGUCAAUUGGCAUGGCGGUUUCUGAGCUACCACGGAUGCAGGAACAACGUUGCAGUUUUCCUGAGAUAAACCCAUGACAUUAAAUAAAAAAUAAAAUUUAUUGAGUUUUUGAAUCUCCCUUGGGAAGAAUGACAUUUAGCUUUAGGUCUCAUCAGAACAGACUUCAAUCAAUUUAACUUGAAUAAAUAGCUAAGACAUCUCUUCCUAUACAUAAUUCCACAGAUCCUGCAGAUUAAAUAUUUAAAAAUCUAUUGUUUGGAUUGCUAAGCUCCCUUUGCCAAUGACUGAAUGCUGAAUUAUUGUUGGAUCUGCUUUCCUCCCUUUAUUAUCUAAUUUCACUUUUAUUUCCUCUUUCCACUGUAAAAAGUAUUUCUGACUAACCAUCCACUUCUAGAGCCCUUCAUUUUUUGUUAUAAUUCUCCAUUUUAUAAACACAGAGAAUAUCUCAUCUUUAGCCACAUUGUCUAAAUGACAGUGGGAAUGAAAAUGAGGUACGGAAUGAUUAGCUAUUACCUUAUUCUGCAAGUUUUGUGCAAUAGUUUAUAGACACGGCAUGUGCAGCAUCUUCUUCAGUCCAGCUGUAACAAAUGCAAAUACUUCCCUUUCCUUGAUAAACCUUUUCCCUUAAGUUCACUUGGGGUUGUACUCAAACUUGAAGCUGUUGAAAUGCCUAUGGUUAAACAACCAGUCCAGCUACUUACUGAGAACAACCCACCCAGCUACUUAUUGUGGACAAACCUUUCCAUCUGCCUUAUUUAUCAAAUAUUACCUUCAGCUAACAGAGAAUUUAAACUAUUUGUUUAGGUGGUCCUGUUGUCAGCUGGAUGAGGACUGUAUUUCCCCAGAAGAAGGUGACUGUUUAUAUGUCAAGGACGCCAAUAAGUCUUUGCAGACCUAUCAUUUUCUUUUGGAGAUGUCAGUUUCCAGUUCUCCUGAACUUCUCCUGUGUUUUGGAAAUCCUAUUAAAAUACCAACAAUAAAGUGCCAUAUUUCAAAAUGCUUUUACAAACAGAAGCUCGGUAAGGUUAUGUGUUUUAUUGCUGUCUUCUCAUUAUUCAAAAAAUGAUGAAAAGCUUUUGCUCAAACUUUCUAAAAUAAAAAUGUUACUUUUGAGAAGGACUAAGUUCAAAUAGCUGUAUAAGCCCCCGCGUAGCUCCAGCAUACGCUUACCACUUGUUGCAAGGGGACUUAGUUCACUCUUACCUAAUACAUUUGGUUUGAAUACAGACAUUUCUCUGAACUGACGUUGAAGUACUGUGAAGUUUAGCCUCAGAGGUAAAUGUUUUGGAAGGUUAAUAGCCUGUGGAAAUAGAGGAGCCCUAUGUUAUGUUUAGUACUCACUAUGGCUGAAAGAUGAAAUAGAGACGCACUUCACUCAGCUGCUGAAAGGCAGCCACCUGUGGGGAGUAAUGUGCCAGCUCUUUAGUGCAACACUGCAAAACCAUUUAAGUGGGAAGUGAAGCGUUAUAGCUCAGGCCAAAGAGAGUGUUUGCCAUCGUUGUUACUGGACAGCAUGACAUUUUUCUCUGGGUGGAAGGCACUGUUUGUGUAAUGCUAUAUUUCAAAAGGAUUUGGCUUUGGAUACACAGGAAAUGGGACCCCGCCAUCAGUAAUCAAUAACUCACUGCCGUGGACCAAUCUCCCUACUUAGCACUGCAAGAAACCAGCAGAGGCAAGAUCAUGGACAAAGCAAAUGUUACUUAAUGUGAAUGCCCUUAAAGAGAGACUCAAAUGUUUGGUACAACCAAAUAGCUAGAGUUAAUUUCUCUUACAAAUUCAGGUUUAACUUUGAUCUGAAUUUCAACCAAGCCAAAUCUAUUCACUGUACAAAACAUCUUCAUCCUUUCAGGACAGAGGUAGGAGGAAAAUGGGAAAGCUUCGGAGAGGAUUUGCAAGAGACAAGACAACAGAAAAGUAAACUGCGUAAGACCAACAAGCAUAAUUCUAAUUCUCUGAGAUAAUUUGUUAAAAGAAACCACACACUAUGAGGAUUUAAUGUACUAAUUGCGGUGCUUUCUUCCUCUCUGCUUUUCUUUGCUUAAGCUCAAGAAAUUUAUUUUCCCCAAAUUCACAAUGCUUUUUCAGAAGAAAAAGUACCAGCAUGGUUUUAGAAAUCAUAAACAUGCGAAAUUGCAAGAUUCUGUUUGGAAGAAAUUUCCUUAAAUGCCUAGAUGCACUUUAGCCUCAAGGUGGCAACAUUGAAUAAUAUUCUGAAGAAAGAGAUGCUUCAUACAUAGGUGCCUUUAAUUAAAGUUUUAUGUUUUUAAGUGAAUAUCCUUCUCUCCCAUUUUUUUUCAGAAUAUGUUGAGAGAAAAAUGUGAUGAGGUAUUAUAUAUGUGCUUCAAACAAUCCUGAUCACACAUUAUGCAAAAUUAUUUGCAAUUAAAAUGAAAGCAAACAAACAUAUAAUAUAUACAUAAGCUAGCCCUCCCAUACCCUCUGUUUAAAAGCAAUUAAAAAAAAAUAAAAAAUAAUUCCUUUUCACAGUAUUACUAUCAAUAUGACCUUAACCCUAAACCAAAACUGGUACUGUUUCUUUCAAACUGGACCGUGCAAUUAUGCUGCAUUACUUCACCUGCACUCAGUAAAUGCUGUGAUUUAGAAUGUAGAUCAGGUAAGAGGAGGUGGCAUCGCAGGUAUUGCACUGCAUGGCGGCUUGAGCUGGGUGCCCUGCAGGUCAUGGGGCAAAGCACUGUGUGAACUCAAGAGGGGCUGAGAGUCAGUAAAGGAGCUUGGCCCAAAACAUUCUGUGGAGAACAUGAGGAAAAAAAGGAUUUUAAAUAACGUUUAUAGAUGUUACAUUUUUUUUCUAAAAAAGAAGAAGCAAAUGUAAAUCUGUGGGUGGAUAUCUGUCUUUGGAUUAUUAAGAAGAUAAUACAUCAUUCUAUGAAUUUCUUAAUCUUUCUGUCCUAAUUAUUUUUUCACUGAUUUCCACAGUGCUCAGUGAUUUUUGACUUCUGUAAAAUCCAGUGUUUUCUGCUAUCCCACUGAUUACUGUCCUUGUGGCUACAUGAAGAAAGGUAUUAUACAUGGAACUGAAAUUAUGUUUUACACCAUCCUCACUGGUGAGGCUACAUCUGCACUGCUUUGAGCAUUCCCUGCUAGGAAAGCAUGGUAGAUUUAAAGAAAAAAGAAGACUUAACUAGGGCAGCCAGCAGCAAAAAAAAAUCCUCAAAGUUCAGAAGACAGCAACUAUUGUAUUAAGAGUGGUUAGGCAAGAAAACCAACUGCUGAAUCUGCCCUGUCUAGAGAAAAGAUGACAUGAUAACAGGCUGUGAGUACUUAGGAGGAAUUAAUAAAAAGAAGGUGGAAGGUGGUGUGGGAGGACUGUUGGCAGCAUAGGGAAAGCAGGUAGAAGUGUAGUAAUAGCUUAAAAUUACUGAAGGAAAAAAUGGAGAUUAAAUAGUACAAAAUGAGAGAAGAGGGAGGGCAACAUGGCAGAGACGGUCACUGAUUUCAAGGCAAACACUCAUUCCUGAUGAUCAUGUCAACCUACAUUGUUUGCAGAGGCUGGAGAAAAUGACUCCAGAUCUUCUCAGCUCUAAUAUAUGUGAGUGAGAGCACUCCUCUCCAUGGCACUAACUCCAGGAGGAGCGUUUCACCCAGAGCCCUGCUGCCAGAUGGACUGCGCACCCUGCUGGGCCUUCACCUGCCUGGCAGCCUGGAGCUUCACAUGGGAUUCUCCAACCUGAACGAAGGAAAGAACGCCUUGCUAACAAUUGCUCCUGUUGGCUUUGGAGAGGAGCUGAUGUAACAUAAAGCAUAAACGAGAACUGGAGAACAGUUAGAUGGAGUACCAUUAGUUCAGCUGGAAAAAGUGACAUUGAUGAAUCAAUGACUUAAAAACCAAUUAGUUUGCAUAAUUUCUGACAGAAGGUUGAUUUUGACUGCAUAUCCACCCCUGAGCAAAAGUGAACAGUAAACUAUUAUCCUUCCAAACCAGAGACAAAGGCCAUUUAGGAGGGAAGGAGAAGAAAAUAAGGCUGCAGUCCCUUCCUGUCUAUUCUUACCCACCCACCUACUUCCCUAGUAGAGUUUGUAAACAGGCAAAUUCUCCAAUACUGUAAUACCUCUAGAAAAGAGAUACAAAGCAGCUCCCUCAGGGUAUGAAAGGGGUUCCUACUAUGUGAUACCACAGCUGCAAUCGUGCUUUUAAAGAUUAGCCGUAUUUCUAGAGGGGUUUCAAAAGCUUUUUGGAGGCAAGCUCUCAACUCCUUUUUAAUGCAUCCACUCCAUAAUUUUCAAUGCACUUUGUCAUUAAAGUAGACUCGUUACCUUUGGCAUUUCUAUUAAAAUGGCAUGUUCAGAAAAGGAACAGUAGUUGAAUGAGUCACUGGCAAGAAAGCACAGGUAUCACAGAAGGAAAAAAGGAUUAUUAUUUCUAGGCACAUUCUCUUGGAAAUUGAAUAGACUGGAUGAAGAACUGGCGAAGUUGUAAAGAAACCAGAGCACCAUGGGGUAACAAGGCAGAAAAGCAAAAUUAACAGAAUCCCAACCCUAUACAUUCAGUUCAGACUCCAUGUUCUGAAAAAAAAUCAUAACACAAAUAAUAGAGUUUCUGUACACUCUGAUAUCAGAUCAUUCACUAAAGCAAAUAUGACACUAAAUGUUUGUGAGCAAGUGUACACAGCCUGCUCCUGUGAGACAGCCCAAGCUAGAAAAGGUUUUGAGAUUACAGCUGCAGUGGAUGAGUAAACAGGAUGGUCUCAGUAUAAGAAUCUUACAACACUACAAGUUAAAAUGAAUUAAGCAAUGAAAAUGCAGGAGCAAAAUAAUGUAUAAUAGAUAAACAAAGCUAGACCACUGCGCCAUUUGGAAAGCUUUGCUAUAAAUAGAAAAGUCUUUAUCAAAAACUUUAUCAAACACCUCUGGCCCUUUCUGGUUCUGGUGGGAUUUCAUUUUGCAGGCUUAGAUCUGAAGAACAAAGCAUCCAGGUACAAGCCCCAGCCACAUGGUGCUCACGCUUGGCAUACAGAAGAGCAAAGGUAGUGCUGGGUUCCCUAAUCCCACAGCUGGCACAGGAAUAGAUCAGUCCCAGGCACAUCACUGUGCAGCCACAGUGUUUGUAUCUCCCUCAUGGAAUCACUGAGCACCGUUAUGUCUAGUGCCCUUUUGCCCUCCCUAAGGCACCCUCUAGUUCCUGAGGGAGGGGUGGAGAGAGGCAGCACCAGUGGGUACACACUGCUGCAGAGUUCCCCUGUUCUGGAUCUACCCUGAGGCAGUUUAGUAUGUCCCAUCAAUUGACUUGUAGAGUCCGAUGGGGCUUUAUGCUGCCACACAUGGCUCAUUUCACUUACCAGCACUGUCUUUGCAAGGUGCAAGAUUCCAAAAACCCAGUGCCUCAGGCUAAACACUUAAGGCAAAGCACCUCUAAAGGUAUAACAGAUUUUACAAAGCAUACUAUAAUAGUAAAUUUGAAUAGUCACAUGCUCUGAUGAUUUGUGCUUUAAUUAUUAUGCCUCUUCUCUCCUACUCUCCUGAGAUAUGCCUAUUUUAUAUUCAAUAAGGACUCUUGAUGAAGAUGAAUGAAAGCCUGUGAUUCUUAACUUUGCUCAGAAAAAAAAUAUUUGGUGUGUUAGUUCAUAUUCUGAUGUGCUAGAUGAAAAGUUCUCACACCCAACAAAAUUAAGAGUAGGACAGUCAGCAAAAAUCUACCAGGUCCAAUUCUGGCUAUAAUAAUUCAUGGUUUUGCCAGGGUCUCUUUUACUAAGCAGAAUCUUAGAAAACCCUUUUUCUUGAUGAAAUCAUGCUGCGAUAUACCGUUGGGACAGUGGCUUCAUCCUACUUAGUGAGACAUACGUCCAAUGCACAUGUCAGAUAGCUAAAAUGGGUUUGGAGGGCUGUCGUGUUUUGUUUUGUUUUUCUAAAAAGCCUACACAGAAAAAAUCCUUUGCCUUUUGGAUUGUCUUGCCAGUUAGUUCAAGGCCCUGGAUAUGGUUCUACCUUUUACUAGCAAGUCGGUCAUAUCUAUAGUCUCAAAUGGAACAUGUUGUACCAUUUACAGCACUGCCUCUGAAUAAAUUUUUGGUGUUUCCACAUUUUGCCUUUCCUGAAAGAAUCCACUAUAGGAGAGCAGAAAAAAAUGAAAUUCAUGUUGAGGAAAACUUUCAUAAAAAGAAAAAAUACUAUGGCAGAAGCAGCAGGUCAUUCUGUAAGAUUAAUUUGCUGAAUUUUAAUGUAUGCCAAAAGCAGGAUGGCAUGAGUCAAAUUGGAUUUGAAAGCUGUGAGAAUCUCCUGUAAUAAAAACCAUAUUUGCUACUGCUACAUUAUUCCUAUUUGGUCUUAGAUUCAGGGGACAGCAGAAUGAAAUAAGGAAUAAAAACAGUUAUAGUAAAUAUCCUUCCAAAUGACUGUGCAAUGCUGUGCAACUUAAAAUCACAGCCCCAAAGAACAGGAUUUAUAUUAAGUUUCUUUAAGUUGUCUCCUACCAACAAUGUCAUAUUGAUAGAAUACCUGAGGGGAAGCUUUAAGGAAGAUUAGCAAAAUAAUCCUUUCAUGCUGGGAGUUGCAUUUUUCCACUUCAACUGCCAUUGCUAGCAAUGAAAAUGUGGGCAAAACUGACAGUAAAAGAUGAUAUCAACAGAAGUCAGAAUCUGAGUGUCUUCUGGAGUCAGCUUAAAUUGUGUGUUAACAGACAGCUACUUCGUUCUUUCAGUGAAAAUGUAUGACCUAUAUUAUAUCAGCAUUUGUUAAUGAAGUCUCACCAAUUCAGACAAUACUGUAUUAAUUUAACCUGCUUUAUAAAUUUUUUUUUUUUUGGUCUGGGGAAUAACAAUCAAGUGAUAGGAAGGUUAGCAUUACAAUUUUCCAUUUAUUUUCCAUUUAACAAAUUUUGAAACAUGCAAAGAAAUUCUACAAACACUGUCUAAAUCUUGUGAGGGACGUAAGGGUUUUCUCACAACACUUAAUAAAGCUUAUCUUUUUCUCAAUCCCACCUGCAAUGACAGAUCAAGGAGAUUUUUCUUGUUAAAAAAAGGCUGCCUCCAGAUACAUUUCUUUCUUUAAAGGACAACAUAUGGAUAAGAGUUGAGCAGAACUGCUACAGUCAAAUGUGUAAACAGCAGUAUUUGACCUGGCAGCUGUGCUGAAUAGAAACACACAAUCUCCUUAAAAGAUACCAUACACAAGUAGAUUUACAUGAAAAUCACUGGCUUGAGGUUUUUUUUUCCUUCUUUAUUUUUUUCCUGUUCCUGCCAGAGAUAUUUCAUGAUUUUAUUUCUGGUGUAGGAUCCUACUUCAAGCACAAACUCUCAUGAAUAAUGUAGCUGCUCUCUUGAUGUAGCCAUAGGUAAUAUUCUUAUUACCCAAUCGUAUUUUAUAUUAUCCUUGCUAUAAAAUAAGUCACAGAGCGAAGAGGGCAAAACAUUGCACCACUUAGGAUGAAAUGCAGCAUCAGUCAGCAAAGAUCUACAGUCUUUGUGAGAAGUAACAUAAGACCUCAGGGACACUCAGAGUGGGUCAACAGACCCUAUGUGAUACAAACUAGCGUGGUUUCAUCAAAUGAACCUGAGAGAAGAAAACCUUACUUCAUUUCCUUCCUGCACAGGAAAUUUUAAUCAUAGGCUAAAGAGCUGCACCACAGAAUUUCUACUGCAGAUGGGAGAAAAAUAUUUUUUUGGGCAGUUUACUGUGAAUCCUGAGAUGCCCACAAUGAGACAUUUUCCAAGUAAAAGUGAUCAUUUGUUGGAAGUUUGUGCAUUAGCCCUGCACAAGUCCAUUUGACCAUAAAGAUGCAACACAGUGGGAAAGCAAGCCAAUUUCCUCUCUUUUUGAGCAUCCAAAAUCAAAAGAGAAAAAAAAGAACAGUAACAGCAGACCAGGGACCUGACUAUGAUCUAACUCUACUUUUUUGUCCUGAGGUGAGUUACUCUACUGCAGCGUACUUUCAUCUAGGUCAAUAUGAGGAUGGAAUCAAACCAAAUGGAUUUACAUCAGUAUAUGCCUUUGCAGUUACUACAAAAAAAAGUCCCUCAGUUUCAGAGCAGUUAAAGCUACACUUUGUCAUAGAGCUUGAGAGAGGAGGCAGAUCCCAUCUCCUGUGCCCCUACGUGACACCAGCUAGUGAAUUUACAACUUUUUUCUCUGCUAUGGAGACUUGUACUCAUUGAGAAUAGGAUCUGAGCCUGAUGGUGGCAUCCACUGUUGUGUUCCUCACCAAAUAUAAUUUCCACCAUUACCAUAAUGUUAACCUCAACUGCUUUCCAGGGGUUGCUGUUUUUUCAGCCAAUGUCAGAAACGGAGACACUGGGCGUUAGUAUAGAUUGAGCCACCUCCCAAAAUGCUCUCUGCUAAUCCUAAAAUCACUGUAGCUACCCUGUAGAUGUAGUAGUACUCAGUCCAGUGUCUCAAAGGCGGUGAUAUUUGGUACUGAGAAAAAUCUCUCCAAAGUUCUCCCAUCCUCCACAUUUUUCAAAGUUACCAGGAUCUCACAGCAGGCAGCUCCAACAUCAAGUACUUUCCUGUUUUUGGCCUGGAUCUUUUGCUGUCAGUGAACUUUGAAAUUGCUUAGCACCUCAGAAGACUAAUUACUAAUCAACAUGCCACCUCUCUAUCAGAUAUAAGCAGUCUCAUAUAUUUUCUGUUAAAUAAAAGCUAUAUUCCACAGAGAUUUUUCAGAACAUUGUGCUGAUACAUCUAAAUAGCAAAACACUUUUAGGCAAGAUAGCCAGUUUUCCAGCUGGCUAACCCCAAGUAAUAAAAAACAUAAUUGUAUUAACUCUACUUCUUUUUUGUUCAUAACUUAAAGUCUCUUAGCAAAUGCAUGUAUAAAAAGAGACCUCCAGUAAUAGCCACAAUCUCUAGAUAAGUGCAUGGAAACUCUUAAGAAAAGAUCCUCCUGCACUGUAGAUUAUUGCUUUUAAUGUACCUAAACAUUAAAAUUCUAAUAGCAGACGAGGUGAAAUGUGAAUAACAACAACAACAACAACAAAGUAUUCCUUUGUAAAGAUGACUUGGAGGCAAAAAAAAUAAAGGCGAGUUUUUUUGUUUGUUUGUUUGUUUUUUUCCCUAACUGAUUAGGAUGGGGUCCUCAUACCUUAUGCCCCCAAAAUAGCCAGUGACAGAUUGCAUAUGCUUGGAUUUGUUGGUGAUGUGAGCUCAUCUGAAUUAAACCAAUUAUCUCAAAAUUACAGUAAACUGAAAAGUAUGAAUUUUAUUUUUUUCCCUUUAAAACAUGUAUUAUUCCUGUGUGUUGCCUCAACUUAGGAAAUCCUUCUUGAUCUCAUUCUUCUUGCAAGGGAGAAGAACAACAUGUUUUGUUUCACGUAUGUGUAAAACAACUUUUUUCCAUCUUUACGAUGAAUUUGAUAUAGUUCUGGGAAAAAACAAAUUUGCAUCUGAGCUAGAAAAUCAACAGUAUAAUAAAAAUACUGUUGCUCAUAGAAUUGUUUAGGUUGGAAAAGACCUUUAAGAUCAUUGAGUCCAAGUGUUAACCUAACACUGCCAGGUCCACCACUAAAUCAUGUCCCUACGAACCUCAUCUAUGCGUCUUUUAAACACCUACAGGGACAGCAAUUCAACCACUUCCCUGGGCAGGCUGUUCCAAUGCUUCAAAAGCCUUCUUGUGAAUAAAUUUUUCAAAAUACCCAAUCUAAAGCUCCUCCAAAGCAACCUGGGGCCAGUCUAUCUCAUCCUAUCACUUGCUGCUUGGGAGGAGAGACCAACCCCCUCCAUGCUACAACCUCCUUUCAGGUAGUUGUAGACAGCAAUAAGGUCUCCCCUCAGCCUCCUUUUCUCCAGGCUAAACAGACCCAGUUCCCUCAGCUGCUCCUCAUCAGACUUGUGCUCCAGACCCCUCACCAGCUUUGUUGCCCUUCUCUGAACUCUCUAUCCAGCACCCCAAUGUCUUUCUUGUAGUGAGGUGCCCAAAACUGAACACAGGUUUCGAGGUGGGGCCUCACCAGUGCUGAGUACAGCAGGAUGAUUGCUGCCGUGGUCCUGCUGGCCACACUAGUUCUGAUACAAAUGGAAUGAGAGUGAGAGAGACAGAGGGAGGAACAAGAAGGAAGAUAAUGACCAAAUAGGUAAAACAGUAAAUAAUCUUCACUCAAAACUGAAGACUAAUUGAGAAUACAUUAUAUUUCCUUUCAUAUUUUUAUGAAGUAGGAUAAAAACAUAGAUAAUUAUUACACAACGAUCUUUCCACAUACGUAUAUGAUCUCAUCAUUCUGAUUUUGAUUUAAAGGAUGGUACCUUGGUCCAACUCACAGCAGAAUAAAAUUUCAGGAGAACAGGCAUUAUCCCCAUCACCUGGUAUCUAACUGCCUUAGAAGCCUGCUAAACUUCGGGUUUACAUCUUUUUGUAGAAAGCAACAUAAACAACAGCACCAGUUUACAGGAAGGGAAAUGAGGAAUAUAGCUUUUGAGACCCAGACCUCUCUGAGUUAUUGAUACAUCUAGUCCCCUAAAUAAAAAUCUAGGCCUGUGUUCAGGAUGACACAGAUUACUGGUAAUAGCACUAGAAAUCACAGCUAGAUUUAGAAAGCUCCAUUCGAUUAGUGACUUACCAACAACACAGUGUUGCUCCCUACAUUUUCAAUGCUGAUAGAAUUUUUCUAGAUAACUUUCAUGAAGAUGUAAACUAGCUUUUUCAAAAUAAAUGUGGCUGAAUAAAAUUUACAUAUACAAGCUUUAAAAUUCCAGAAUUACUUAUAUAUUAGAAACAGGAAAGGGUCAAGACAUUGAUAAGAAAAUAUUAUAAUUAAAACUGUAAAGGCAUGGGAAUGCUAUGCUGAACUUCGUUAUAGAGGAUAACGAGACAAUACUUCAAUCCCACAUAACAAGUGUGAUUUUUCUAUUAUCUGCAAAUAAAAAGUCAUACAGGACUAUUCAGACAAAAUUACUUGAAGGCAAGUCAGAUCUUAUAUGCAUAUUAUUUCAAUAAUGUCCACUGAGGUAUUUUUAUAAACUUAUUGUAAUGAAUGAAUCUGUACUGAACUCUUUCUAGUUUUUGAAAGUUUUUAAAUUAAGGAAAGCAUCCUAAUUUGCACAAUCCAUGCUUAGCUACAUAACUUAUUUCUGCUAUCAUUUCCUCUUCACAUUACAUGGUAAUAAGAGAUAUUACUAUCUGGUUCAAGCUUUCUCCUGAUUCAGCAGUUUUAAUGCUAUGACAUUUUAAAGCCACGGAUUUCAGAGUCAGUUUGAAGAUAAGACAAAUAGUUUCAGGCUAAGUGGAGUUUGCCCAACAUUGCUUGUCCAUCGUUUUAACCAGAUAUUUAAUUGGCAUUAUAGCAGGAAGGAAUACAUUGUGAAGGAAAUCAUAAGGUUAUUUCAUGAUUUAUCUGACAGAACAGAUUUUUUUAAAUGUUCAAUGGAAAAGGAUAUGAAAACUAACUCAUAACAAAACUUGGGACUUUCAAAACCAAAACAGAAAAAUUAUUUUCUUUUUCUUAGAGAUGGGAAAAAGAGUAUUGGAAAACUUCAAAAUGUGAUGUGAUAAAUAAUGCCGUAUAAUUGCCUCACAUUAAAUGUGGCUUCAACUUACAUUAAAAUUAUUUAGAGAUUAGGAUUCACUAAAGACCAAAGUUCAUCCUAAUUUGCCCAACUUUGUGCUUGAAAUAUGAGAUAUUGGGCCAUGCUGGAAUCAGAAGAUAGAAAGACAAAUUGCUAUUAUUCUUUCUCUGUUGGACUGUGCUUUAAGAACAACUCAGAACUAGGUCUUACAUUAAAAACAGGGAAGAAGUGAAUCACAGAAUUCAAAAACAUCUGAGGCAGGUGAUUAGAAUUAGGAACAUCCCCAGGACUGAUCAGUUUGGGUUGGCUACAUUAUAUUGAAAGGCAGAAUCAACUGUAGCCUAAUUUCAGGCUGUUGCAUUUGGACACCAUAAUCCAAAAUAGUUGCUGUGGAAGGUCACACUAAAGGAAGUUUCUUUUGAUUUUUCCAAAGGGACUGGUUGCAGGAAAUGGUAGAAAUCCCACUAAACCUCAGAAGACUAACAGUGUACUAGAAGACCAAAGCUAACUACUCUUUUUUAGGACGCAAAAUGGUCUCUCUACCCAUUUUGAAGUCUACCUGCACAUAUGGACAUUGAUAUUAAGGGUUUUUUUGAGUUUUGUUUAUAACUAUACCAAUCCUAAAGAGCUCUGGAGGAAUCUAAGGGGAAAUAUCUCAAUUUCAUAUUGUUUUCAAAAUUAUUCCUGAAGCCUUCUAAAUGUAUGUCCAUACAGGUUAAGCAAUAGACCUACUUCAGAUAUUUAUGAUGCAAUUAUUCACAGUUAAAGUUCUAUUCCAAAUUGUAAUUUUGCCAAGGAGACAUAACACCUGUCUUAUUAUCACCUAUAUGUUAUCAUCAUUGGGACAGUUUAUGAUGCUGUAGCAUCUCAGUCUCACCAACAGAAAUUGCAUAGCUUGUUAAACACAAUAAAUAUUCAUCAAUUGCUCCUUGGCCAAAUAUAGUGAUGCAUGCAGAGCUGUUCAUCACUAGCUGCCGUUCCAUGGUGUGAGAUGUGUAGUGUUGUUACUGUAGAAGAAUAAUAAAAUAUAAGUAAAACCCCACAAUUUGCCAGAAGCUAAUAAAUAUAAUUCAUUGAAUUUCAUUAGAUUAAGAUUCUUGAACGAGAAAGCCAUUCACAGAUAUAAAAAACUUGCAUUCAGACAAUGUAUACUUCCAUUUUACAAUCCUCUCCCAUUUUCCGUAACAUCCUGUUUUCUUUCACUGAUCUGUCCCAUCAUUCAACUAACAUACCUUCCAAAAUCUUUUUCUCUCCAUUAGUAAUGAACCCUUGCAUACCCCGGGAAAUCAUCUUCUUUAUAUAUAAAAAAAUACUUCACCAAAGCCUUUGCUGUCAGUAAGGCUGAAGGGACAUCUAUUACCUAAUAAACACAGAAUAGAUUUAGCAAGGUGAUUCAGAGAAGCAAGUAAAAGCAGUUGAAAAUGUAGUACAGCAUUGAAAAGGAGAGCCUGGAGACUCACACAGAAGAUUAAAGGAUUAUUUCUACCUUGGAAGUUUUGAGAUGAAGGGCCUAGGUAACCUGUGCAUCACUAUCACUGUUUAACUUUACUGACACGGUUUUAUUUUUCUGGCACUUUUGCAACGUAGUUACGUGAACCAGUCAUGAUAGAAUUUAAAUAACAGGGCAUCUAUCAACAAGGCUGGAAUAAAUUCAAAGAUGAGGAGUAUAGUCCACUACAGUUUAAUGAAACAUUAUUUUGCUAUAAUCCAGGUCUCACUUUUAUAUUUUUUCUAGGAGAUACAGCAUGUAAGAACUUCCUUUUUGUUUACAAAAUGUGUUUUAUAGUAUAAAUAUUGUUCCCUAGGAAGCAAAUGGUACUCUCCAAAAUUUUCAGAAUUCAUUAAAAGAGCUUAUAUUAAAGUACAAUUGUGCUGUAGAUUUCCACCUACAUCAGAUAUCAGAAAAAAUGACACUUCAGAUUAAUAUAAUGGAGUAUAAUAUGUUAGCUCAGAAGAGUUAUUCUUCACUUUCCCACCUUAGUUUCUAUUGAUAUUGAUACAUCAGGACUUUUCUAUAUUUAGAUUAUUAAGGGAAUCUGUUAAAAAUCUUUUUGUAAUUACUCUAUUGCCUGUUUUGACAUCUUUUUUUUGUAUUCAUUAUUAAAGUUACCCUUCAUGUCAUCCUUUUUUCUUAUUCUCACUUUCUGUAACACAAAAUGUCUACAAUUUUGGCUAAACAGCUUGUUGAACAAGCUAGUAAGUUAAUGGGUACAACUCUGUGAAACAACAGAGAUUUGAUGGGGAAGCAUCCUGGUAAAAUAAUUUUUUUUGCCCAUUUACUUCAUGCCUUUCAAGGAAAUGGUGUGUCUACAUCAACAGAAACGUGCUUUUAUCAGCAUACUUCACAUCCACAAUGCACACUGGCAGCAUGGCUGUAUCAGUAUGAGCUUGCAGUGUAGACAACCUGUACGUCCCAGUAAUGGAGUUCAAACGCAGGCUGUAGUGCCUGUUAUCUGUUUCUCCCAGAGCACUGAGUAAACUCUCUUCAAAGUCAGGAGUAUAGAAAGGGUAACAGGGAAACUGGGAGAUAAAUAACCCAUUUCAAAGUGAAUUUUGCAUUUUGAAGAUUUCAGAGACAGAUAACCACAUCUAAACAGAACAAAAGCACGAAACCACUGCACACACUGGGUAGGAGCUGCAAGCAUCAGCCCGUGCGGUGUUGGGUGCCUUCAGCUGCAGAAUGAAGCAUGAGCCUGCAACACUGAGUGAGUGACAUUCAAUUGAUUGCUGAGUAUGGGCUCUAAAAAUUGACUCAAAGUUUUGCCUUGUCAAACUGGAUGAUCUAGUUGUUUUUAUUAAACAGGGAAAAAGUCAUACAGGAAAUUUGAGGGUCAGAGAGAUAACUUGCUUCAGUAAAUUAUAUAAGCAUAGGACAUGGCCCUGAAAACAUCUGUAACUCAGUUUCUGAAUAGUUUCACUAACAAGUAUUGCAAUGUCUUUUUCACCUUACCGCUUUUCAAGGACUAGUAAAACUUUAAACAUUUACUCUGAACUUCCAGGUCAUUUAAUUCAACUCAGAAAGAAGCGGGAAGAGCACCGAGGUAUCCAAGAUGCCAAUCGCUAAAGCAGACUCACACGUAAAUGUGGUUGGGUUUUCCACCCCAUCC